UACGAAGGGGGCUAGCGUUGUUCGGAUUUACUGGGCGUAAAGGGCGCGUAGGCGGCGCACCAAGUCAGGCGUGAAAGCCCUGGGCUCAACCCGGGAAUUGCGCUUGAGACUGGUGUGCUUGAGUACGGGAGAGGAUAGUGGAAUUCCCAGUGUAGAGGUGAAAUUCGUAGAUAUUGGGAAGAACACCGGUGGCGAAGGCGGCUCACUGGCCCGGAACUGACGCUGAGGCACGAAAGCGUGGGGAGCAAACAGG
rnacentral:rRNA from 1 species